rnacentral:tRNA from 1 species
GGGGGCGGUUGAGGUGCCGGUGCCCUCCCCGGUCUUCAAAACCGAGUGUCAGACAUUUAUGCCUGAGGUGGGUUCGACUCCCACACGCUCCC